AUGCGCUCCUGUGGGCGGCGGCGGGGAUGGCGGCGGCGGGCAGCGGAGAUUUCGGGUCGGGGUCGCGGUUGGACCCCGCAGCGCUCAUAAAGCAGUACAGAUUAAAGUACAGAUCGCCGUGGCCAACGCCCAGGAGCUGCUGCAGGGGAGCGUUUUGUUCACGUUCGUCUUCACUUGCCCACUGCCUGCUGAAACUGGAAAGGCUUCCUCUUGGUUGUGUCAGCUGCGUGACACAGACGCGGAGAGAGGGAAGCUCGUGGGGACUGAUUCUGAGGGGAGUCGAUAUGGAUCAGCACCUGGAGAAGUGUGAAUUUCUCCCAAGCUACACAUCUCUGUGGGCAACUUUGCGUAUGUGUUUUUUUUUUCUGCAAAACAAUUUCCCGGAUUAGAACACAUUUUGCAGGGUCUCUUCGCGAACAUUUGCCUUUUUAUGCAGAUUCCCUCCCCCCCGUCUAUGUAUUUUGUCCUCAUUACUCGAUGGGACAGCCGCAUUGCACAAUUCAAAGAAGCGCAAAUGUCAGAAGGUGGCUGUGUGUCAGUGUGCAUAUUGUUUCAGAAAGUGCGAACUGAGUCGGUUCGCCUUUAAAUGGAAACUGAAUCCAAGUUGUCCCCCAACCCUCUGUCCGCUGGGAAUUUUCCCCUUGUCGUCCUGCCCCGCUGGCAUGAACGAGAGUUCUUCUCGAGCAUAUCGCUUUAUGCUUUAGGUUGGAUUUCUGCAUUGAGUUGGACUCAAUGAACUUAGAGGCCCCUUCCGACUCUGCUAUUCUGUGGAGCUGGCUCAGGAGAAAUGAUAAACCUUCCCAGCCUGAGGUGUGACCAGUGCUAUAGUUUGAGCUCUGGUAAUAAGCUGUCUCUCUACUGUGAUAAAAGGGGAACGAGAGGAAAAAGGGGUCAUGACAGGUUAUGCAUGACCAAACCGAGUUUUCAACCUUUAAACUUGGCGUUUGGGACGUUUUGGUUCUUGGUGUCUGAGAUGUGGUUUUCCUUGGGAAGGCUUUUCUAAAAGGAAAUGCAGAAAUUAAUUUGCAUUUGGGGAAAAGCGCAUGUGAAGCUUUACAAGCUUUGCUUGAGGGGUUAGCUAGCACCCACCAUUCUGAGGAGGCAUGUAAGGUUUCUGAGGAGUCAAAGGGAGAGGAACCCCCCUUUCUUAGAAAAAAAUAGUUGCAUGAGAAGAUCUCUCAUAUAUAUAUAUGCCUGAGUUUGUCUGUGUUCAUGCUGGAUGCUCAUUUCCCUGAAGCAAACGGAGGCUCUUAUUCUGGGUCUCCGUUGAGCAUAAACACAUCAGGAUUUGGAGAGGCAGUGACCUUGGGGGUGGGGUGGGGAGUUUGACACCUUGGAGCCCCGUUUCCUAGCUAUGGCUGGUGCCUUAGGACGGCACACUCCGAAGCAGUGUUGGCUGAUGCCCAUUUGGGACUGGCAGGGUGGAAGGCACAGCGCCAAUGAUGGGCACGGCCACCCCCUGACUGGCUGUAAACGAGGCAGGUAGUUGAGGGCGCUGGGUGAGGGCAGAGCGAGGUUGGCAGGGCAACAUCCCAUUUGCCCUGAUGAGCCUUAAAUAUGCUUUCCUGAACCUUGGUGCCCCCCUCCCCAAGUUUUGGAACACAGCCCUAGCCAGCGCGGCCCUAUGAUGCUGGGGUCUUGGGGGGCCCGGAGGGCACCAGAAUGCAGAAAAGCUGAUUUAAGGAAUCUGCCGAGUUUUGAUAAUACGGAUGCGAAAUUGGACAACGUGCUCAUUGGCUUGAUAAAUCCCUGUUGUUGCCCCUCUCGGAGAGGUCACAUCCACCCCACACAUUGAAAGUACAUGGCUUCCCCCAAAGAAUCCUGGGAACUGUACUUUACCCUUCACAGAGCUGCCAUUCCCGUUUGGUUUGGUCCCUAUAAACAGCACAAUGUACUUCAGUGCUGCUCAACUAACUCCAGCGCACCUGAGAGGACUCCAGAGACCGGCUCGGAUACAGGCCUGGCUAGCUUCCCCCAACCAUCACCGACAGGCUCAGCUUCUGACACAACCGGCCUGCUUUCAGCUGUGCCCGCCCAUAAACUCGGGAGCAAAGCAUGAAAUGGACCAAGAGCCCAGUGGAGACAGAAAGCUGUCCUUGCUUUGGAUGUUCAGGGAUGAAUAAAUCCUCAAGGCUCAUGGAGGAGUGCCAAACAGAGGAGGGGUGUUGGAGCAACAGGGUUCUCCAGCGGAGAGAGGGACGUCGAGUUGAUGGCUUUGCUUGCACGGUCCAUACCUCUGUCAUUUCCUGGAGUCCAGAGGCGGCUGGUGACCACUGGGUCCGGUGGGGCGGAAGGCAAGGCGCCCGAGCGGUAGGUGGAGCCAAACCCGAUGAUAGGCGGUGCAGCACUGAGAUGCGGGAGGAAGAAGCGGCCUGGCAGGGCCGCCCUCUGGACCGCUUGCAAGUAUGACUGUCAGGCAGGUGUGGGGGCCAGCUGAGAGCAGACUGAGGUUGGUGGGGCCGGGCCCCAUCUGCCCUUACAGACCCACCUCUGCCGCUGGAGUCCCACGCUGAGGGCAUUGGUGGGAGAGGAGCACGGAUAAGGACAGCCGCCUGGUCCAGAUCUGGGGUUGUUUGGGAUG